UUAAAACUAGUGUAUAAAAGAGAAAUCUAAUAACGAUACGAGAAGAUUAGCAUUGGCCCCUUCGCAAGGAUGACAUGCACAAAUCGAGAAAUUGUCCAAUUUUUU